ACCCCACUAACACAAACAAAUCCGACCAACCAAACACCACCAACUAUAAACACCCCACAGUAACCCCAAUCUGGCGAACAAGAACAGAAGUGUUCCCAAAGUGCCAAGUGUUGCGACUCGAACGGUUAAACGUACCACCCACCCACCAUCUCAACCAGGGUGCUGGUUGGUCUAAUGUUACAAGUGCGGUGCCCGAACCCAAUGCAAACGACAUUCCACCGUGUGAUCAACACGAUCUUCACAAGUUGAUUCAUAUCGAGCCCUGAUGAAGAUCCCAACCAUAGGAUCGAAACGUAGGCAAUGAUUUAGAAUAAUCAACGCUUUUUCUGUGACUGAAAGCCGAAAACCUACCAAGUUUCU